ensembl:lncRNA
UGUGUGUGUAUGCGUGUGUGUGUGUGUGUGUGUGCACGCGUGUGUGUGUGCGCGUGUGUGUGUGUGUGCACGUGUGUGUGUGUGUGCGCGUGUGUGUGUGUGUGCGUGUGUGUGUGUGCACGCGUGUGUGUGUGAACAUACAUAGUGUGUUUUGUUGAGCAAUGUUCAACAUCUGCUUUUUGUUCAGUUUUUUGUAGCUGUGAGUAACACGUAUUAGUACACACUUCUCCCACCACGUAAAAAAAAAAAAAACAUUUUCUGAGGCCAAAAGAUGUGAACAUGACAGGAAGUUCAUUUGCAAGACCGACAUCAUUUCCUGUCAUGCUAACAGAAGUGUGCCAAGUCGUUUCUCAGGCUCCAGCAGUUUGUGUGAGCAGCGUACCGCUCAUGUGGAAAGCUCUGGAGAAAUCCCAGUAGCUUAAGUGGCUUCACUAUGCACUAUUCUCUUGUUAGCACUAGCAAUGGCAUGGUGAUCUUCACUAUGCACUAUUCUCUUGUUAGCACUAGCAGUAGCAUGGUGAUCUUCACUAUGCACUAUUCUCUUGUUAGCAGUGGCAUGGUGAUCUUCACUAUGCACUAUUCUCUUGUUAGCAGUGGCAUGGUGAUCCUGCAAAUACAAACACUGAUAGCACAAGCACCAAAUCAGGGAAAUCUUAAAGCAUUUGGCUAGUGUGGCAGGUGCAUUAAGGGCAGGGGUGAUUUGGUUGGUAGUGAACAGCACCUGUCCAGGGUAGAGUAGGUGAUUUGUGUGGUGUUUUGGUAGAGUAGGUGAUUUGUGUGGUGUUUUGGCAGUGAAAGGGACUCUGGUGGUACUUUGCCUAAAUCCAGGUAAGUGGAUCAAGGCUGUCACCUUUCCCUAAUUUGAAGCUUGGUGCUGUUAGUAUUGUGUGUGUGUGUGUGUGUGUGUGUGUGGUGUUUUUGAAUCAUUUCCUUGGUUAAUGAACGUUCACUUCACCUGGCUUGGCUUGGCUCGGCUCCUGCAGGCUAAUGUUAUUGAUCGUUCCUGUAUUCCUCACGUUGACGUCCUUUGGAGUGAAAGAGUAGCAUUGUUUUCACCCCAUGACACACAGUGUGUGUGUGUGUGGAGCAGUGUCUGCACCAGGCUCUCUCUGUGUGUGUGUGUGUGUGUGUGUGUGUGUGUGUGUGUGUGUGUGUGUGGAGCGGUGUCUGCACCAGGCUCUGUGUGUGCGUGGAACAGUGUGUGUGUGUGUGUGUGUGUGUGUGUGUGUGGAGCAGUGUCUGCACCAGGCUCUGUGUGUGCGUGGAACAGUGUGUGCGUGGAGCACCAGGCUCUGUUUCAACUGAAGAACCAGUCCAGCAGCACAGUCCAGUUGCAUUGCCUUAACAGAUCUCUGUGGAUAAGGAUGCAUGGCCUCUGCUCUCGUACUGUGUGUGUGUGUGUGUGUGUGUGUGUGGAGCAGUGUGUGUGUGUGUGUGUG